rnacentral:rRNA from 1 species
CAGUAGCCGCGGGAAUACGGAGGGUGCAAGCGUUAAUCGGAAUUACUGGGCGUAAAGCGCACGCAGGCGGUCUGACAAGUCAGAUGUGAAAUCCCCGGGCUUAACCUGGGAACUGCAUUUGAAACUGUCAGGCUGGAGUCUUGUAGAGGGGGGUGGAAUUCCAGGUGUAGCGGUGAAAUGCGUAGAGAUCUGGAGGAAUACCGGUGGCGAAGGCGGCCCCCUGGACAAAGACUGACGCUCAGGUGCGAAAGCGUGGGGAGCAAACAGGAUUAGAUACCCCAGUAGUCCCUGUCUCUUAUAA